CGGUGGCGCAGCAUACACCCAUCCAACACCCGCGCCCACCCUGUUAAUGCCAUCCCCACGCCGGGGUCCCACCGCCAGGCAGAGCACCGAACAAGCUGCGCUCACCUUGCUUGACACACUUGAGCCGGAGGGGGUCCUUGCAGUGUUUGAUCACGGCCAGAACGUCCCUGAUGGUGAGCCCCGCCACGGGGGUCUCGUUCACCUCCAGCAGCAGCUCCUCGGACACCAACUUGCUGCCGCUUUCAUAGGCCACCUUGCCCGGCUUCACCUCCCCCAGGUAGGGGAACUGUCCGUUUUCCGCGCCCCCCUUCAGUUCAAAGCCCAGCUGGCCCUCCGGGUUCCUGCCAAUGACACUCUCGUGGACUUUGCUAGUCCAGUGGCUUUUCUUUUUCAAGCUUUUGGACAUGGCAGUAGGGUUAGAGAGGUUGAGUUAAUGUUUGAGGCAUCAUUCCUUACAUGCUCCAGAGCACAGAUUCUUAACUUGCAAUCUGAGGACUUUUCAACGACAAGGUAUGGCCUACUACCUUCCUUUCUGUAUGAUCUGGGCAAACCGACCGGUGGUGGCAAGAGUAGUGUCAAUGAAGUGAUCCACACAGCAAGAGAGGCAGUUUCAGUGCGGGAGUCUAGCUGAUUUCCUGGCUUCUCCAUGCACUUAUCUCAACAUAGUUCCACGAAGUGAUGCACCUGCGCAGUGAACCCUGCCUUCUGCUGCUCGACAGCCACCAGGCUUUGUAACUCAGUUUCACCAAGCUCUGCCAUUGUCAGCGUCAAGAGCUUCGCUGUGGUACGCAUGCGUGGUCCUGAAAGCAACUUUUGCACUUUAUCAUCAACUCUAAGAUACUCAGGGGCUUCUAUCAAUGAUGAGACACAUCUGCAGAAACCCAUACUCCUUCCAUAGGAUCACACGAUCCUUGUCCAAGGGCGAACACACAGAACAUUGUUCAAACCAUACCAAUCCUGACCGGAGAGAACAGAGACAAACUGACUCACAGGAGAGAGGACCUAAGUACUUUAAUACAUUUUUUGAAAUUAUUAUAAAUUAUUUUACAAUAUCCAGA
rnacentral:lncRNA from 1 species